AAUUUGAUCAUGUCCAUUACUAGCUAUUACAUAAACAUGACUUCUUUACUCUAUCCGGACUCCCGCACUAUACUGUACCUGCAAGCCUGGGGGUAAAGGGAGAGGGGUGAGCUAAAAGCCCAGUGAGUAGAGCUAUUAAAACACAUUAACACUAUGCUCUAUGAAAUGCAUCAUAACACAAACAAUCCACAUAAGGGUUGGGUGAACUCGUCACCAAUUAGUCCAAGUUAACUCUGUGCCAGGCCUGUAGAAUGGGGUCCUGGUCUUUCCUGUCAGAACAUACAUUACUUACCAUUCUCCCAAGGCCUCGUCUGGCUCCUGGUCUUCAAGUCCCAUAACCGUACUAGACCAUAGGAUGGGAUCCUGGUCUUUCCUUACUCUGUGCCAGGCCUGUAGACUGGGGCCUGGUCUUUCUUACUCUGUGCCAGGCCUGUAGCAUGGGGCCUGGUCUUCCUGUCUUGGACUAAUUGGGUCAUCCGACAUUCACCCACAACAACAACAAUUUAUGCGAUGCGGCAUAUUCGUGAAAACUAAUGCAAUCAUCCUAUUGCAUAAUCAUG
rnacentral:lncRNA from 1 species